UGGGCAAUCGGAAUAAACCGAAUUAACCGAACCGAACAAACCGAUUUUUUCGGUUUUCGGCACUGAUAAGAAAGGAAAGGCUAAACCGAUCGGCAGAAUUAUAAUUAGACUUCGGUUCUCGGUUCGGUUCGGUUCGGCAGACGGUAACCGAUCGGUUUUCUCGGUUAAUAGACACCCAUAUAAAAAACAAAAACCCUAGAUCUAUUUUCUAUAGCUUCUUCCUGUCCAUCUCCUUUCUUCUUUUCUCCUUCGAUCUCUUCUCAUUCCUUCGUUAACUUUAUAGCUUCUUCUUCUUCUUCUCCAUCUCUUUUCUUCUCUUCUUCUUCCUCAGCCUCGACAUCAAUCCAUGGCAAGUGUUAUUCAAGAGAGAUUUGAAACGUUGUUGGCCUUAUCAUCCUAACCCAUGGCUAUUUUGAAUCAUUCUCUCCGACAUCGAGUCUGUGGUUCAGAUUCGAAAUGUUUUGGCCGUUUAUCGCUGGCGUCGCCGUUACGCUCCUCCUCGUCACCAAACACACGGCAUCUUUCGUUGAGGGUUUAUUCGGAGAGAUCGCAUUGUUUGAUGACACCGCCAUCUCGUCGCCGUCACUGUCACAGCGGAGAAAGAGAGUAGCGGCGAGUCUAUCAACCCUAAUUUUUUUUUGAACUUGGGUUUUAGUUUUAUUUGGGCUUAACUCUGUAAUUAGUCAUGGCCCAUUAUUUUACUCGUUUGUAACCGUAAAAUUUUGCUUAUUAAAAGCCCAUUAUCUUUA